UGACACGUAGGUGAAGUGAUUUACUCAUGGAGCUGAAGUCAGUCGAAGAUACCAGCUGGCUGCAACUGUUUAUUAAAAACACAGCACUGUGCAAACACGAAAGUGGACGUAUACGGUGUGACGCCUGCCCGGUGCCGGAAGGUUAAUUGAUGGGGUCAGCGCAAGCGAAGCUCCUGAUCGAAGCCCCGGUAAACGGCGGCCGUAACUAUAACGGUCCUAAGGUAGCGAAAUUCCUUGUCGGGUAAGUUCCGACCUGCACGAAUGGCGUAAUGAUGGCCAGGCUGUCUCCACCCGGGACUCAGUGAAAUUGAACUCGCUGUGAAGAUGCAGUGUACCCGCGGCAAGACGGAAAGACCCCGUGAACCUUUACUAUAGCUUGACACUGAACACUGGUCCUUGAUGUGCAGGAUAGGUGGGAGGCUUUGAAGUGUGGACGCCAGUCUGCAUGGAGCCGUCCUUGAAAUACCACCCUUUAAUGGCUGGUGUUCUAACGUAGACCCGUGAACCGGGUUGCGGACAGUGUCUGGUGGGUAGUUUGACUGGGGCGGUCUCCUCCUAAAGCGUAACGGAGGAGCACGAAGGUUGGCUAAUCCUGGUCGGACAUCAGGAGGUUAGUGCAAUGGCAUAAGCCAGCUUGACUGCGAGCGUGACGGCGCGAGCAGGUGCGAAAGCAGGUCAUAGUGAUCCGGUGGUUCUGAAUGGAAGGGCCAUCGCUCAACGGAUAAAAGGUACUCCGGGGAUAACAGGCUGAUACCGCCCAAGAGUUCAUAUCGACGGCGGUGUUUGGCACCUCGAUGUCGGCUCAUCACAUCCUGGGGCUGAAGUAGGUCCCAAGGGUAUGGCUGUUCGCCAUUUAAAGUGGUACGCGAGCUGGGUUUAGAACGUCGUGAGACAGUUCGGUCCCUAUCUGCCGUGGGCGCUGGAGAACUGAGGGGGGCUGCUCCUAGUACGAGAGGACCGGAGUGGACGCAUCACUGGUGUUCGGGUUGUCAUGCCAAUGGCACUGCCCGGUAGCUAAAUGCGGAAGAGAUAAGUGCUGAAAGCAUCUAAGCACGAAACUUGCCCCGAGAUGAGUUCUCCCUGAGACUACAAGUCUCCUGAAGGAACGUUGAAGACGACGACGUUGAUAGGCCGGGUGUGUAAGCGCAGCGAUGCGUUGAGCUAACCGGUACUAAUGAACCGUGAGGCUUAACCUUACA
rnacentral:rRNA from 1 species